GUCUACGGCUAUACCUCCCUGAAUGUGCCCUAUCUUGUCUGAUCUCGGAAGCUGAGCAGGGUCCGGCCUAGUUAGUACUUGGAUGGGAGACCUUACAAUGGAUGCUGCUACCU
rnacentral:rRNA from 1 species